ensembl:lncRNA novel transcript
UAUCUGGUGACACAGAGUUGAAGUUUUAGAAUUUGGAAAUAAAAUGACUGGGGUGGGGUCCCAAGUACUGUGUUCAAGGAAAGGACAUGCCAGGCUGCGGGACCUCAAUGCCUCCUCCCCAUCAACCCUUUGACAGCUGUGCCCUAUCCCACCUUGGAGGCCAAAGCAACUCCCUCCUGGGUGCUAAUGCGUCAUGUUGACUUCUGAUUAACCCCACUUCCAGGAAUGCCUUUAAGAUUUCUACUUUUAUCUACUGUUAAGAGCACACACUUACUGUAAAUAUGUUAUUAUAAACACUGUAAAUCUGUAUCAUAAAACUGUGGUGCUGUAAACACUAUAAAUAUGUUAUCAUAACCCUAUGGUAUAUAUGCCCUGGGUCUCGGGGGGGCAACAAUGUGGGGAUCCACCAUCUCCUGGCUGCCCGAGACAUGGCUUUUGUUUCUAAGUCCCUAUUAAAUGUUCCUAAGCAACUG